AUGGCUCAGUGAGGCCUUGGGACUGGCUCAGAGAGGUCGGCAACGACCACUCAGAGCCGGAAACUUGGUCAAACUUGGUCAUUUAGAGGAAGUAAAAGUCGUAACAAGGUUUCCGUGCCUAACACCCUCCGGGGUUCGAGGCCGGGAUGAGAAGUGAUUCCUUCCACAGGUGGCGCUUCGGAAGCCUUAGCAGCCUGAAAAGGUGGCCCUCUGACGACGAUAAAAUAAAAAGAGGUGCUGAAAUGCUAGUCAGUUAGCACACUGGCGACACCGUCAAAUUGCGGGAACCCCCUAAAGACUUCUGCUACCAAGCAGUGCUGGGAAACCUCACUGUGGCCAGGGUAAUGACCUCGGGUAUGGUAACAACGCAGAGUAUGAUCCUCUGGUAUUCAGUGGUGAAAUGGGCAAUCUGCAGCCAAGUCCGUCGUGCUCCUCUGGGGUGCCGGAUGCCGUUCACAGGCCAAAUGGUGGUGGGUUGACUUGGGCAUCAAGUCAGCUUAAGAUAUGGUCGGACCCCUGGGAAACCUUGCGGGAUAGUCACCAUGUAGUUAAAUGGAGGCGGGGAGCGAAAAAGUGCAAGCUUCUCACCAUGGGCGACUACGACAACCAGCUAUACAGCACACACGCUCCUGGGCGUACCACAAAAAUGUUCCGUAGGUGAACCUGCGGAAGGAUCAUUAACGAGUUAAGGUCUUCCAGGCCUGACCUCCCAACCCUAUGUUUACUGAACCUUCGUUGCUUCGGCGGACCCGCCUCUCGGCCGCCGGAGGACCGCCUCACGGCGUCCUCUGGCCCGCGUCCGUCGACGGCCAACCUCAAAAACGCUGAAAUAACCGUGUCGUCUGUCUCAGUCCCAUGAUUUAAAUUAAAGCAAAACUUUCAACAACGGAUCUCUUGGUUCUGGCAUCGAUGAAGAACGCAGCGAAAUGCGAUAAGUAAUGCGAAUUGCAGAAUUCCAGUGAGUCAUCGAAUCUUUGAACGCACAUUGCGCCCUUUGGCAUUCCGAAGGGCAUGCCUGUUCGAGCGUCAUUAUCACCCCUCGGGCCCUGUGCUCGAUGUUGGACGGCUGGUUGGGCAACCGACCCCUCCUAAAGACAAUGACGGCGGCCUGUGGCGCCCCCGGUACACUGAGCUUUUCACGGAGCACGUACCGGACGAGGGCGCCCGGGACCCGGUCCUCUCCUUUCACUAGGAACCUUCUCAAGGUUGACCUCGGAUCAGGUAGGAAUACGCGCUGAACUUAAGCAUAUCAAUAAGCGCAGGAAAAGAAACCAACAGGGAUUACCUCAGUAACGGCGAGUGAAGCGGUAAUAGCUCAAAUUUGAAAUCUGGCCUCUCGGGGUCCGAGUUGUAAUUUGUAGAGGACGUUUUGGGUACCGCCCCGGUCUAAAUUUCUUGGAACAGAAUGUCAUAGAGGGUGAGAAUCCCGUCUUGGACCGGCGGUAGGGCCUGUGUAAAACUCCUUCGACGAGUCGAGUUGUUUGGGAAUGCAGCUCAAAAUGGGUGGUAAAUUUCAUCUAAAGCUAAAUAUUGGCCAGAGACCGAUAGCGCACAAGUAGAGUGAUCGAAAGAUGAAAAGCACUUUGAAAAGAGAGUUAAACAGUAUGUGAAAUUGUUGAAAGGGAAGCGCUUGCAACCAGACUUGAGCGCGGCGGUUCCCCCGGCCUUUUGGCCGGGCUACUCCGCCGUGUCCAGGCCAACAUCGGUUCUGAGGGUCGGUCAAAGGCCCCGGGAAUGUAUCUACCCACGGGUAGACUUAUAGACCGGGGUGUCAUGCGGCCUCUCGGGACCGAGGAACGCGCUUCGGCUCGGAUGUUGGCGUAAUGGUUGUCAGCGACCCGUCUUGAAACACGGACCAAGGAGUCUAACAUCUAUGCGAGUGUUUGGGUGUCAAACCCGGAACGCGAAAUGAAAGUGAACGGAGGUAGGAAGCUUCGGCUGCACUAUCGACCGAUCCUGAAGUUUACGGAAGGAUUUGAGUAAGAGCAUAGCUGUUGGGACCCGAAAGAUGGUGAACUAUGCCUGAAUAGGGUGAAGCCAGAGGAAACUCUGGUGGAGGCUCGCAGCGGUUCUGACGUGCAAAUCGAUCGUCAAAUUUGGGUAUAGGGGCGAAAGACUAAUCGAACCAU
rnacentral:rRNA from 1 species